ensembl:lncRNA
CCUCGACCACCUAUUGAGAUGGACAUAUAGUCUCCCUAACUGACUCCCACAGAGACAGAUAUGUAGAGACUUUGAUGGAAACCUGGAGUGGCUGAGGUUCGGAACUUCGGGAGCAGUGGAGAGGUCAGGGGGAGCGUCCCAGGAACGGCACAGGGGAGGUUAGAGUUUGGCAGAGUGCCAAACUCCCGGGAACGUGAUCUGGAUCCAAUUCCUGGUCCAAUAAGCUGGACCCGGAAUAGGAGCCAAUAUUCCGCUAAGCUCUUCCCAUUCCCAAACCCCUCUGGAAUACUUCAUAACAUUCCAAGAUUCUUUCCAACAUCCUUCAACAGUGUGCAGGUGUGCUAUUAGUGUGAUACUACAACAAACACAUGUCAGUGGAAAGAAUGUAGCCUCAUGCCUGUUCACUUACUUAGCUCUGAUCCUAUAGGGUAUGACGUUAGUCUGCUUUAAGCAUAGUAAAUGAGACAUUGAAGUCUUUCUUCUAAGGGGGAAUUCCAAACUGUGGCGGAGAUCAUUGUAUAUCUGUUCCACUGGAAUGUGUGGAGAUUCUUUCCCUUCAGCUACACCAGAUAAGAGAUCAAAACGCUCAGCUCCAAGUCUGUGGGUUAC